rnacentral:tRNA from 1 species
GCGAGCGUCGUAUAAUGGUUAUUAUCUUGGUUUUCCAAACCAAUGAUACGGGUUCGAUUCCCGUCGCUCGCU